AACGAACGCUGGCGGCAUGCCUAACACAUGCAAGUCGAACGAGACCUUCGGGUCUAGUGGCGCACGGGUUCGUAACGCGUGGGAACCUUCCCUUAGGUUCGGAAUAACUCCCCGAAAGGGGUGCUAAUACCGGAUAAUGUCUUCGGACCAAAGAUUUAUCGCCUUUGGAUGGGCCCGCGUUGGAUUAGCUAGUUGGUAGGGUAAAAGCCUACCAAGGCGACGAUCCAUAGCUGGUCUGAGAGGAUGAUCAGCCACACUGGGACUGAGACACGGCCCAGACUCCUACGGGAGGCAGCAGUGGGGAAUAUUGGACAAUGGGCGAAAGCCUGAUCCAGCAAUGCCGCGUGAGUGAUGAAGGCCUUAGGGUUGUAAAGCUCUUUUACCCGGGAUGAUAAUGACAGUACCGGGAGAAUAAGCUCCGGCUAACUCCGUG
rnacentral:rRNA from 1 species